rnacentral:rRNA from 1 species
UCAAGCGAACAAGGGCGCAGGGCGAAUGCCUUGGCACUGGGAGCCGAUGAAAGACGUGAUAAGCUGCGAUAAGCUUCGGGGAGCUGCAAAUAAGCAUUGAUCCGGAGAUUUCUGAAUGAGGAAACUCACCUGGGUUCAUACUCAGGUACGUUAUACUGAACUUAAAAAUAGGUAUAUCGAGGGAACCGCCUGAACUGAAACAUCUAAGUAGGGCGAGGAAGAGACAUCAAACGAGAUUCCGUAAGUAGUGGCGAGCGAACGCGGAAGAGGGCAAACCGGAAGUAGAAAUACUUCCGGGGUACGGACUGCUUUUAGGACUUAAUCUGUUAACCGAACGGCAUGGGAAGGCCGGUCAGAGAGUGUGAGAACCACGUAGGUGAAAACGGAGAGAGCUGCGCAGGAUCCAGAGUACGGCCAGACACGUGAAACCUGGUCGGAAGAUGGGGGGACCACCCUCCAACCCUAAAUACUACCCAGUGACCGAUAGCGUAUAGUACUGUGAAGGAAAGGUGAAAAGCACCCCGGGAGGGGAGUGAAAAAGAACCUGAAACCCUGUGCCUACAAGCACCUAGAGCACGUCAAUGUGUGAUAGGGUACUUUUUGUAGAACGGUCCGGCGAGCGAUUGUAUGCAGCAAGGUUAAGGACUUAAGGUCUGGAGCCGAAGCGAAAGCGAGUUUGAAAAGGGCGUUAAGUUGCAUACAAUGGGCCCGAAACCGGGUGACCUACCCAUGGUCAGGUUGAAGUGGAAGUAAAAUUCCAUGGAGGACCGAACCGACCUCCGUUGAAAAGGCGGCGGAUGAACUGUGGGUAGCGGAGAAAUUCCAAUCGAACCCGGAGAUAGCUGGUUCUCCCCGAAAUAGUUUUAGGACUAGCCUCAAGUUAGAUACCUGGAGGUAAAGCACUGAAUAGCCUAGCGGCCGAGAGGUUAGCGAAGCUUAUCAAACUCAGAAUGCCAGAGUAUUGAUGCUUGGGAGUCAGACAGUGUCAGAUAAAUGUCAUUGUCAAAAGGGAAACAGCCCAGAUCUACAGCUAAGGUCCCAAAGUCAGGUUAAGUGGAAAACGAUGUGAAGAUACGCAGACAACCAGGAUGUUGGCUCAGAAGCAGCCACUCAUUCAAAGAGUGCGUAAUAGCUCACUGGUCGAGCGUCUUUGCGCGGAGAAUUUAACGGGGCUAAACCUGACACCGAAGCUUAGGCAAUACAGCAAUGUAUUGGGUAGGGGAGCGUUGUAUACGCGGUGAAACAGUAGCGCAAGCGGCUGUGGAGUGUAUAGAAGUGAGAAUGCCGGAAUGAGUAGCGCGAAUGCAGUGAGAAUCUGCAUGGCCGAAAGCCUCAGGUUUCUGGAGGAAGGUUCGUCCGCUCCAGGUUAGUCGGGAGCUAAGGUGAGGCCUAACGGCGUAGCCGAUGCACAGACGGUAGAGAUUCCGUCACCACCAAAAGAGUUAAACACAGGGACACAUUUGAAGUCUCGGAGCCGGGUGUUGGUUCCGGUAGCGAUCGAGGGAAGUUAGUACCGAAGUCCGGGAUGGAAGAUGGCGAGAAAAGCUGUGUGUAUUUCUGCGGUGCCCGUACCGCAAACCGACACAGGUAGGUAGGAAGAAGAUUCUAAGGCCAACGGGAGAAGGGUUGUUAAGGAACUCGGCAAAUUGACCCCGUAACUUCGGGAGAAGGGGUGCUCCAGAGAUGGAGCCGCAGAGAAUCGGCCCAAGCAACUGUUUACCAAAAACACAGGUUUGUGCUAAAUCGAAAGAUGACGUAUACGAGCUGACGCCUGCCCGGUGCUGGAAGGUUAAGAGGAGAUGUGCAAGCAUUGAAUCGAAGCCCCAGUGAACGGCGGCCGUAACUAUAACGGUCCUAAGGUAGCGAAAUUCCUUGUCAGGUAAG